AUAUAUAUAUAUAUAUAUAUAUAGAGCUAGGCUACUAUACUAUCUAUAGUACCGAGCUCCGGUACUAUAGUGUUGAUUUUCGAUCUUAGGGCGUUCAAAUCAACGAUCCACACCGUUAAAACUGAUCUAGGGUAUUUAAAGUUUCUAGAAAUAAAAUUUUAUAUUUUUUCGACAUAGUUUACUUUAUGAUCAAACUAUUUUAAAAUUUUCAAUUUUCAAUGGCUAUUAUGACAAGUUUGGAGUUUAACGGUGUAGAAGAAUCUAAAUUUCUUCAAAUUUUGAUAGAAAAUACUUUAAACUGUAUAGAUUAAGGUUAACAUUCUUGAUCUUAAAUUUAAAAGUCCUAUGCUCAAAUUUUAAAGAUUAUUCAAUUUUCACCGUCCAUUUUGAUAUAAUUUAUUUACUAAGUAAACGAUAUCGAAAAAAACUAAAAUUUUAUACCUAAGAAAUUCAUAUACCCUAGAUCAUAUUUAACGGUGUGGAUCGUUGAUUUGAACGCCCUAAGAUCGAAAACCAACACUAUAGUACCGGAGCUCGGUACUAUAGAUAGUAUAGUAGCCUAAUUCUAUAUAUAUAUAUAUAUAAUUUUAUUUUUAUAUUUAUAAGAAUUAUAAUUAUUUAUGUUAAUAGUAUAAAUCUAAAAUAAAAUUUUAAUUUCACAGAUGAAUUUUUGCUCCGAAUUUUUAAAUAAUAAACAUAAAAUUCUCGUUUAAAUCGCGUAUACGAAUGAUUGACGAAUCCGAUUUUUAAACCGUAUUUUUUAACGAAUUUAAAAAUUAAAAUACAAAUUUUAUUCGUAUUUUAUCCGUACCGAAUUUUUACCGUAUCCGAAUUAACUACCUAUGUUCUUGCUUGCUUGCGAUCCAUAUGUAUAUUAUAAAUUAUACUUAGCAUUGUGUUAUGUUAUAAUGUUGAGUUUUAUGUAAUUGUAAAAUUUAUAGUAGAUUUAAUCUGUCACGCCUCGGAUUACACGUUCCCCGGGCACGCCGACAAAUCCGCCGUAUACAAAGAAAUUUUUUCUGUAUACGAAGCGACAGCUGUACCUGUAAAUCAAACACCACUACGAACAGUAGUAGAGAGCUGCUAGAGAAAACAGAAGCUAAACAAACAGAGUUUCAUAUACAUAGUUCAGAUCCAAAAUACAGAGCUACUCGCACUGGCGAGUUAAGUCAACUAUGUACAUAAACUCGAAACAAAACAUCUACCUACAGUAGGGCACCUCUAGCUCAGCACGUCGGGUAGGGUUCUAACUCGCGACGCUCUUGCCUCGAUCCUUGUCCGCAGACGGUGCAGCAGCCGGAACCUGUGGCUCUGCAAAAACAUAGGUAACAACUGGACGUGAGAACUACUGUAAAAACAAGUAGUCCUCAGUGGGUACCGCCCAAAACAACAUCGGUCACCCACUAAGUCUACAAAAGGGAGCAAGAAUAGUAGGAAAAGCAGGAAGUACACUCCACUGCUAUCAAUCACUACACUAUCAUGCUCUACACUAACCAACUGUAGGACAUGUCAAAUCUGACCCAAUCCAAUCGGGACUGUAAGCAUACCCGUCCCCGGGACUGUGAAUACACCCGUCCCUGUCCCGUUGCGACUAUCAAGCUCUAUCCACACUAACUGGUCCGUGGAGAGCAAGUCCAACUGGCAUGAGCGACACCAACGCGAAAGCACAAAGCCUGACUCCGGAGUGGCACUCGUGGGCUCUACCCAACCGAGUAUGCAGCAUAUCUCUGUCGAGCUCAAACAGGCUCUAAAAAGCCAAAGUCAAGAAAUCGACUCUAACUGGUCUAACAACCAACAAGUAACGUGCCCUCGGCACAAUCAGACGCCAAAAAGGCGAUACGGGUCCACCGUCAACCUCAACGGCCACCCCCUACAGUCCGGAACAGCCUGAACGACCCUGUAUAAAUCCACUCGGUGAACCAGCACGAGCGUAAAUAUAUUCUAAACUACCUGGAGUACUCGUCUCGAAGAUACUGCGACAGUACAAUUUAAUCACGGCUCCUAGAGCUAAAUCAGGCAGUUUAAUCAAGUGGCAGGUCCAAAUCGCAAGUUUUCUCCUAAUUAAAUUUUCAUGUCCAACAUAUAUAAUCUACUUAAUUUAUUACCACAUGCUCCAAAUUCAGAUUUGCAAUCUACCAUUUAAUCCAUGAAUUCGAACUAGAAUAGAAUAUCCAAAGGUCGAUAAUUAUACAUGCCGACGAAUAUGAACUUAGGAGUAGAAACCGAUGUAACCUACCUCAAACGCUAAUCUCUGGCAGCGAAGGACUCCCACUGGUGAAGAGCAACCUGCUGGAUUACCCGGAACCCGCCGAGUACAGAAAUCGCCUAAUCUCAAGCUCUAUGUAACAAAAUUCACCAAUUCAGUCCAGAAAUUGCAGCAGUGAGGUACAAAAGGGAUUCGACCAAGCUAACCUUCCCCAAAAUUCACAAGUAAGGGUUUCAUGGAUUCCUCUCGCAGUCCCGAAUCCAACGAACCAAGCCUCGUCGAAAUCCGAUGCUCCUACGUCGAGAACGAGCUGAAAUACUAACAGUCAACGAAGAAAUUCAGCAAACAACAUCUCUCCGAGUUGAAGUAGUAAGAACUUGUCCAAAAUUCAAGGAAAUGCUGAAUUACUCACCUCGACAGCGACUAGUACCGGCGCGACGUCGAGAACAGCGAAGUCGCACGCUCGCCCGGUCUCCUCGCAAGGCCCCGGCGUCAAAUACAUGCUCGAACGAUCCCGCGGCGCGACGUCGGCGACAGAAACUAUACCCAAGCUUCUUCCCUACCUUCAACCGCAUAAGAGUGAGAGAGAGAUGGUGAAGAGCAACAGGAAGCCCUCUCUCUCUCUCUACACGAAGCUAUAUAGAGAGAGGGAGAGCUGCUGAUACAAACGAGGUGGAAAUUUACUCAAAUACCCUCUCACCUACCCCCUUGUACCGGUACACGGGCUCUUGUACCGGUACAAGAGCCAACCCGAGAGCUGCUAAGCCUCUGCGCGAUGGUUGUACUGGUACAGCCACUCUGCUUGUACCGGUACAGCAAGCAGAAAAUGCUGCUGUUUCGCAGAAUUCAUCGCGAUAAGCUGCCCUCUCUUUGCACGGAGUCCAUUUUACGUCUAUUUGACGCCAACGCGACUCGGACUUGUCCCGACACUCUCCAGAGCUGUCGACAAGCCUCCACAACAGAACACCAGGGACUCACAUCCUCCCCCUCUACAAAAGGUUUCGUCCGCGAAACUAAAACAUACCUCUGCUCAGGCAUCAAACAGGUAGGGGUAAGCUUCCCUCAUCACCGUCUCAGGCUCCCAAGUUGCCUCCCGCUCCUCGUGAUGACUCCACUGCACUUUCACAUACGGGAUGACCCGGUUGCGCAAUUCUUUCGUCUCUCGAGCAAGAAUCCGCAAUGGUCGCUCCUCGUAUCUCAGAUCCUCGCUAAUCUCGAGUGGAGCAAAGUCAAUCACGUGAGAGGGGUCGAAAACGUAUCUCCUCAGCGCUGAGACAUGGAAAACAUUAUGGAUGCCAGCAAGUCGCGGGGGUAGAGCUAUCUUGUAAGCCACCGGUCCGAUAUGCUCCAAUACCUCGAAAGGGCCAACAAAUCGUGGACUAAGCUUUUCACGUACUCCAAAAUGGCGUAUCCCUCUGGACGGCGAGACUUUGAGAAAAACAUGAUCUCCAACCUGAAACUCUAAGUCUCGUCUCCUGGUAUCGGCAUAGCUCCUCUGUCGGUUCUGUGCUGUCAAAAGGUGUCGUCGAACGACUCUCACCUUUUCCUCAGCCUCCAGUAAAAUCUCCGGCCCCAAUGUCUUCCGCUCACCCACAUCACUCCAGAACAGGGGGGAUCGAUAUCUGCGUCCAUACAACACCUCAAACGGAGCCAUCUGAAUGCUCGUUUGAUAGUUGUUGUUGUACGCAAACUCAACCAGUCUCACAUGUCGAUACCACCCUCCUCCAAAAUCCAGGACGCAUGCCCUCAGCAUGUCCUCUAGAGUCUGUAUGGUCCGCUCUGACUGACCAUCUGUCUGUGGGUGGAACGCCGUGCUAAAAUGCAACUGUGUACCCAAGGCUGUCUGCAAACUCCUCCAGAAAUGUGAUACAAACCUCGGGUCUCUGUCUGAUAUAAUCGACACUGGCACGCCGUGCAGCCUAACCAUCUCAUCCAAGUAUAGCUGCGCGAGUCUCUCUCUGGACCAAAUAGUCUAAACCGGUAGGAAGUGAGCAGACUUGGUCAGUCUGUCCACUAUCACCCAAAUCGCGUCGUAGCCACCCUAUGCUCUAGGCAAUCCAACGACGAAGUCCAUUGUGAUGAACUCCCACUUCCACUCGGGCACUGGCAGACUCUGAAGCUUGCCAGCAGGCACCUGAUGCUCGGCCUUCACCUGUUGGCAAAUCAAACAUUGAGCGACAAAUCUGCCAAUGUCUCUCUUCAUUCCAGGCCACCAGAAUCGUGCCUUAAGAUCCUUAUACAUCUUGGUUCCCCCAGAGUGAACCGUAUAAGGGGAACAAUGAGCCUCUCUCAAAAUAUCCGCUCGAAUCUCAGGAUCCACAGGCACACACAGUCGGUCCCUAUACCUAAGUACUCCCGCACUGUCCAAAGCAAAUCCCUCAGCCUGCCCCCUGUCUAGCUGCUCUCUAAUCCUCAACAAAUACGGAUCUCCACUCUGUUUCUCGCGGAUCCCAUCCAACAGAGAGGGCUGCAACACAAGAGAUGUCAGCCUCGCCGUAGACCCAGGGGGUACUAUCUCGAGUCCCAGCCGCUGUAGCUCCUCGAGUAGGUGUCUCUGCUCAGUCAUCCUCAAACUCAGGCCCUGCACUGAUUUCCUGCUCAACGCAUCUGCCACCACAUUCGCCCUGCCGGGAUGAUACUGAAUACUAAUGUCAUAGUCCUUCAGUAACUCCAACCACCGGCGCUGCCUCAGGUUCAGCUCCCUCUGUGUGAACAGAUACUUGAGACUUUUAUGAUCGGUAAAGAUCUCGCAAUACUCGCCCUACAAGUAAUACCGCCAGAGCUUCAAAGCAAAUACCACCGCGGCAAGCUCCAAGUCAUGCGUAGGGUAAUUCUUCUCAUAAUCCUUUAAUUGCCGUGAAGUAUAAGCAAUCACCCUACCAUGCUGCAUCAGCACGCAACCAAGUCCACUGUGCGAUACAUCACUGUAGAUCACAAAUCCUUCCCCCAUCACCGGAAAGGCAAGGAUAGGAGCCGACGUCAACCUCAGUCUCAACUCGUCAAAGCUCCUCUGACAGUCGUCGCUCCAGACAAAACGAAUCCCCUUCCGCGUCAAGCGUGUGAGGGGUGUGGAAAGCUUCGCAAAGCCUUCCACAAACCGACGGUAAUAUCCUGCCAGUCCCAGGAAGCUCCGUACCUCAGUCACCGUCGUCGGUCUAGGCCAAUCUCGAAUCGCCUCAAUCUUCUUCGGGUCCACUGCUACGCCCUCGGCUGAAAUCACGUGGCCCAAGAAAGCAACCUCCCGUAGCCAGAACUCGCACUUCUUUAACUUGGCAUACAACUUCUUCUCUCGCAGAAGCUGUAGCACAAUCCUCAAGUGCUCCUCAUGCUCAGCAUCACUCCGGGAGUAAAUCAAGAUAUCGUCGAUGAAGACUACCACAAACCUGUCCAAGAACGGCUUGAACACUCUGUUCAUCAAAUCCAUGAAUGCGGCAGGGGCAUUCGUCAAUCCAAAAGGCAUCACCGUGAACUCAUAAUGCCCGUACCGAGUCCGAAAAGCCGUCUUGGGAACAUCCUCGGCCCUCACCCUCAGCUGGUGGUAACCUGACUGGAGAUCAAUCUUCGAGAAAACAUAAGAUCCCUGCAGCUGAUCAAACAAAUCAUCAAUGCGCGGCAAGGGAUACUUAUUCUUGAUGGUCACUUUAUUCAGCUCCCGGUAAUCCACACAUAACCUGAGUGAACCAUCAUUCUUCUUUACAAAUAGUACUGGUGCUCCCCAAGGCGAUACACUGGGUCUCACAAACCCUCUAUCCAUCAAAUCCUGAAGCUGUGCCUUUAGCUCUCCCAGCUCUGCCGGCGCCAUCCGAUAAGGUACUUUUGAGAUUGGUGCAGUUCCAGGGACUACAUCAAUCACAAACUCAAUCUCCCUCUCCGGCGGCAACGUCGUCAACUCAGGGGGAAACACAUCCGGAAACUCGCGGACUACUGGGAUGUCCUCCAGUCUCGGCGCCGUCGUAGGUACCUCCACAACAGUCGCUAGGAAAGCGACACAUCCACUACUCAGCAUCUGUCGAGCCCUCGCCGAAGAUAUCCAGGUGGCAAACAACGUGCUCCUGCAGCCUCUGUAAGUGAACUCCUCCUGGCCUGGCUCACGGAACGUCACUGUCCUCGCUCCGCAAUCAAUCGUAGCAUAGUACCGCGCCAGCCAAUCCAUACCGAGAACAACGUCGAAAUCCUGCAGCUGCCCUAGCACCAACAGGUCUGCGGGCAUGACCCACGAGUCCAACUGCACCGGACACGACCAACAACACUCUGCAACCUGUAAAACAUGGUCCGGGAUCUGCACCUCUCGUGCCUAUGACAAUGCCCCUAACUCUGGACCAUGCAACAAUGCAAAUGCUCGGCUAACAAAAGAAUGCGAGGCUCCAGUAUCAAAAAGAGUACGAGUACGAAUGCCGGAAAUCAAAGUGAUACCUGCCACCACUCGGUCGGCUACUGUAGAGUCCUCCACCUGUGCUGCAUAGACUCUGCCACUCGGAGCCUGCUGUCGUCGCUCACCCUGUCACGGCAUGGAUGAUCUAUCCUCCUGGCGGUAACUCGGUGCUGCUCUGAAUGACUGCUGAGGUGCUGGUGGAGCUGAAGCUGACAAUGGUGCUGGAUAUGCUGCUCGGGGACAAGCUGCCCUCAUGUGUCCCGGCUGACCACACCCGUAGCACCGGCCCUCCCUCUGCUCGCACUGUCUGGGCCAGUGUGGUCCUCCGCAGAUCACACACUGCGGCGUCCUCUCUGGUUGUCCCCUCUGACGAGCGUCCCUGGGUCGCUGACGCCCCGAGAACCCACGACCCUGUGAAUGCGAUCGUGGAGGCCUCGGUGGACGCCUGCUACUCGACUGACCUCCGUCGUCUGGAGCUGGGCGUUUCCUGUCCUGACUCUGUCCCGGCCCCUGAGCCCUCUCCCGCAAUGACACCUCUCCUCUCUCCUCCCAUAGUGCAUGCUCAAUGGACGCAUCUAAAGUCCUCGACCUCUGCGCCUUAACAAACCUGAAAAGAUCGGGUCUCAAAUCCUGCUCAAACAAGUAGACCCUAUGUGCCUCGUCUCUGGCAACGAACGGAACACAGUUCAGGAGCCUAGUAAACUCCCGAACAUACUCCUGAACUGUCCGCUCACCCUGCUGGAUCCUCUUCAAGUCCUCCUCGAUCUUCUGUUUCAUGCUGUUGGGAAAAUACAUCCCAUACAGCAUUCCACAGAACUCAUCCCAACUCAGCUGCGCCGCCACCAGUCCCUGAUCUCGCCUCGCUCUCCUCUACCAGUCACGUGCAUCACCUGACAAACAGUGUACUCCCAGUGGUACCUGCUCCCCCUCCGGAACGAACAGAUCCUCAAAUAACCUCUCCAUCGCACUGACUCAUCCCUCAACAACCCAGGCCUCAGUGCCGCUACCAUCGAAGAUCGGUGGGUCAAAUCGCCGAAAACGAGCUAACCUCUCCGUCCACCGCUCCUGCUCGGCCUUAGUCAACAGUACUGGCCCCCUAACCGGCGCAACUGACGCUACUGGAACUGCUGCCGACGGAGGAACUGCUGCAGCUGGUACGGUCACUGGAGUAGUCGGUGGUAGAACAGUCUGCUCUGGUACACUCGGUGCUGAACUCAGUAACUGAGAUAUCCUCUCACACAACCUCUGCAACAACUCCCCCUGCUGCCUCGUCACCUCAGUCAGGGCAGCCAGCUGUGCACUCAGAUCCGGGGGUGCCUCAGGUCGCGCACUCGGCUCCACAACAGGGGAUGCACUCGCCUCCGGUCUGUCACCCUGCUCCUGUCGAGUACUCUGCUCCAUCUGCUCAGGUCUCUCAGGGGAUCCCGCACGAUCCCGUGCCAACUGGGCACGCUCUCGCAACGACGAUCGACCUCGGCGACGAUACAUAGCUGAAAGGAACAAAUCGGGGUCAGAUACAACGCAACACUCUCGACCCAAUCAACGAAAGUCUGGAAGGCGGUCCCUGUUGUCCUCCCAAAAUUAUGUCGUCUGCAGCCAACAUAAUUUUUCAGCCAAAACAGAAACUCCCUCAGUCACUCACUCCACUCCAGGAGGAGUUAAAACAAAUAAUCAUUGACUUUCGCAAUAAAUUACGCCUCUCGCGUUUUGCUUUCCUAAGGUUUGCCAAACUUAGGGUUCCUAGGUCCCAACGACCUGUAGUAGAGCUCUGAUACCAACUUAAUCUGUCACGCCCCGGAUUACACGUUUCCCGGGCACGCCGACAAAUCCGCCGUAUACAAAGAAAUUUUCCCUGUAUACGAAGCGACAGCUGUACCUGUAAAUCAAACACUACUACGAACAGUAGUAGAGAGCUGCUAGAGAAAACAGAAGCUAAACAAACAGAGUUUCAUAUACAUAGUUCCGAUCCAAAAUACAGAGCUACUCGCACUGGCGAGUUAAGUCAACUAUGUACAUAAACUCGAAACAAAACAUCUACC
rnacentral:lncRNA from 1 species